GGGCCUACGGGACGCAGCAGUGGGGGAUAUUGGACAAUGGGCGCGAGCCUGAACCAGCCAAGUCGCGUGAGGGAGGACGGCCCUACGGGUUGUAAACCUCUUUUGCCGGGGAGCAACGGGCAUCACGCGUGGCGCCACUGAGAGUACCCGGAGAAAAAGCAUCGGCUAACUCCGUGCCAGCAGCCGCGGUAAUACGGAGGAUGCGAGCGUUAUCCGGAUUUAUUGGGUUUAAAGGGUGCGUAGGCGGAUCGUUAAGUCAGUGGUCAAAUUGAGGGGCUCAACCCCUUCCCGCCAUUGAAACUGGC
rnacentral:rRNA from 1 species